UACAGAGGGGGCAAGCGUUGUUCGGAAUUACUGGGCGUAAAGGGCGCGUAGGCGGCCUGUUUAAGUCGAACGUGAAAUCCCCCGGGCUCAACCCGGGAACUGCGUCCGAUACUGGCAGGCUUGAAUCCGGGAGAGGGAUGCGGAAUUCCAGGUGUAGCGGUGAAAUGGCGUAGAUAUCUGGAGGAACACCGGUGGCGAAGGCGGCAU
rnacentral:rRNA from 1 species